CUCUCUGCUGUACUGGAGAAUCCUCACUGUAAACUGGAGACACUGUGGUUGCGUAUGUGUGAUGUCUCAGAUGAAGGCUGUGCUGCUCUGACUUCAGCUCUGAGAUCAAACCCCUCACACCUGAGAGAACUGGGUCUGUCCUGUAAUUAUCUAGGAUACUCAGUAAAGAAGCUGCUGUCUGAUCUUAAGCAUGAUGAACAUUACAAACUACAGACAGUGGACUUCUAAUGAAUAUCUGUGUGUGAUGAAGACUCCAGUGUUCCUGCAUUACCAUGAUGGAGAAUAGAGAACAUGUUUAUUAACACAUCACUCAUUUAGUUCUAACACAUUAAACACACACAGAGACGUGAGAAGUGUGUGUUCAUCGUGUACAGUGAAUCAGACUAAACACAAUUCUACACUGAGUUUAUAAUGACCUCUGAUCCCUGGAUAAAAUUCCCUGGACCUCAAUCCCAUAAAAACCUGAGGGAUUAUUUGUAACAGCAGGUGAAAAUCCACAUGAACUCGAGCUGAACCCUGUUCAUUUUACUGUUUGUGUCAUUUAUUAUGUGUUUAUUAUUGUGAUAUAAUUUACACUUUUUACACAUGUACACUUAUAGCUAUAUUAGUCACGAUGACAUAAAGGCGAGUGAGGAUCCAAAUGCAGUUUAACCUUUUAUCAAUCCAGAACAAGAAGCAAGCAACAGAUAAACAGGCAAAAACAGGGCAGAACACUGAGCGGAACAGGGAACAGGAACAGAGACAUAAACAGACAACAUACCACAACGACUAACAUCAGGGACGUGAACAAAGAGCGGAGACAAUCAGAGACAAAGACAAAACACCUGGGGAAGAGAUUGAGUGCAAUUAGUGUCCAUGGUAACAAAUGAGUGGGCGGGGCCAACAAUUAACAGCAGGGAGUGACAGCAGACAGAAACAGGGCAAAACACAGACUCAUUACUAUAUUACUGGGUACAUAACUAACAUUAUAUUGUAUAAAGGCACUUAAAUGUCUUGUAGAAAUACAUCAUACAUUUAGAAGGAAUGAAUUACAUCAUAUUAUAAAGGAUGAAUUUAAAUAAUAAAAUAAUAAAACUUCAUUUCUUUCCCUCACUGAUUAUGAUAUAAACUAUAGAGUUAAUGUGCUUCUUUUCUCUCAUUCUAUUUUCAGUGUAAGUUUUGCUCGUGUCUUGUCGUCUAUAUCCAGCUCUGUGAACUUUUAUUAAAAAAUACAAUAAAAAUAUAUUUUUAACUAUAUUUUAUUCACAACGUGCUUCUAAUGAACGUUCUGUUAUUUUGUUUAUACCUGAAUACUGAAUAAACAAUUAUUAACACA